rnacentral:snRNA from 1 species
UAGCUUACCUGGUGCCGGUGCCUUGUUGAUCACUGAAGAUGAGCUCCCAUGGCGAGGCGCGGGCAUUGCGCUGCGCUCGCGCUGACCCCUGCCACUACCCCAAAAUUGGGCAGAUGGGGCAUGAAAAUUGCUUAUAUCCGGUGCAGCGCAAGAGAGCUCGGCGCCCCCGC